GAUUCAAAUCUUCCAUCUGGGGAUUCUAGCAGACUGUUACACUGUCACAACUGAUACUUCUCUUGAUGUUUUCUUCCCCUGUCCUUCAACAAGUGUUUUGGAUGGACUCCUCACGUUUAGUGGAAGGCUUGGCAUUUAUUAAUUUUAAAGACUGAUUGAGCCUUUCUUGGCACCAGCACUGUUCCAGCUCCUGGAGGUCAAGCUAUGCACGAGGAAGGCACCACUGCUUCACACUUCAGCCAAGGGAGACAGGCAAAAACUGAGACAGUCCAUGGACACAGUAGUGCUAAAGCAUGGUCAGGUUUCAGAAGCACUGGCAAGAACCCAGUUCUCUCCGCCUGGGAUUAAUUGUAACAUCUGUCGGAAUGCCUCUGUACUAGUAAUGGGACCCUGAUCUCCGCAGUCACCCUCCCAUUUUAAAAAGCUGAUGCAAGACCACCCAACUAGAAGCCUUAUUUUCCCGCCUCCCCUGAACCAGCCCUGAGUCGUAUGACUAAGUCCAGAGCAAUGAGGUGUGAGCAGAAGUGAUGUGCAUACAUUCUGUGUCAAUUCCUUGGGGGAAAAAAAAAAAAAGGAAGGCCACCGCCCUCCUUCCUGUCUUUUCCCCUUUCUGAUACGUCACAGCCACCUGAAUCUCCAAGAUGGAAGCCAUGAGUUGAGGAUGUCAGAGCCACCCCACCAGAUCGUAACUGCUCCUUUUGAACUAUGACACAAGUGAAAAAUAAAAUUCCAUGCUCUUGAACCCCUA